CCUACGGGUGGCAGCAGUAGGGAAUAUUGCUCAAUGGGGGAAACCCUGAAGCAGCAACGCCGCGUGGAGGAUGAAGGUUUUCGGAUUGUAAACUCCUUUUGUCAGAGAAGAUAAUGACGGUAUCUAACGAAUAAGCACCGGCUAACUCCGUGCCAGCAGCCGCGGUAAUACGGAGGGUGCAAGCGUUACUCGGAAUCACUGGGCGUAAGGAGCGCGUAGGCGGGAUAGCAAGUCAGAUGUGAAAUCCUAUGGCUUAACCAUAGAACUGCAUUUGAAACUGGUAUUCUUGAGUAUGGGAGAGGUAGGUAGAAUUCCAGGUGUAGGGGUAAAAUCCGUAGAGAUCAAGAGGAAUACUCGUUGCGAAGGCGACCUGCUAGAACAUGACUGACGCUGAUGCGCGAAAGCGUGGGGAGCAAACAGGAUUAGAUACCCGGGUAGUC
rnacentral:rRNA from 1 species